rnacentral:rRNA from 1 species
AUUGAACGCUGGCGGCAGGCCUAACACAUGCAAGUCGAACGAGUGGCGGACGGGUGAGUAGUGUCUGGGAAACUGCCUGAUGGAGGGGGAUAACUACUAGAAACGGUAGCUAAUACCACAUACCAUCGGAUGUGCCCAUAUGGGAUUAGCUUUUAGGUGGGGGAAAGGCUCACCUAGGCGACAAUCCCUAGCGGGGCUGAGAGGAUGACUAGCCACACUGGAACUGUGACACGGUCCAGACUCCUACGGGAGGCAGCAGUGGGGAAUAUUGCACAAGGGGCGCAAGCCUGAUGCAGCCAUGCCGCGUGUAUGAAGAAGGCCUUCGGGUUGUAAAGCACUUUCAGCGGGGAGGCGUUACCCGCAGAAGAAGCACCGGCUAACUCCGUGCCAGCCGCCGCGGUAAUAC